rnacentral:rRNA from 1 species
GACGAACGCNGGCGGCGUGCCUAAUACAUGCAAGUAGAACGCUGAAGGAGGAGCUUGCUCUUCUGGAUGAGUUGCGAACGGGUGAGUAACGCGUAGGUAACCUGCCUGGUAGCGGGGGAUAACUAUUGGAAACGAUAGCUAAUACCGCAUAAGAGUAGAUGUUGCAUGACAUUUGCUUAAAAGGUGCAAUUGCAUCACUACCAGAUGGACCUGCGUUGUAUUAGCUAGUUGGUGAGGUAACGGCUCACCAAGGCGACGAUACAUAGCCGACCUGAGAGGGUGAUCGGCCACACUGGGACUGAGACACGGCCCAGACUCCUACGGGAGGCAGCAGUAGGGAAUCUUCGGCAAUGGACGGAAGUCUGACCGAGCAACGCCGCGUGAGUGAAGAAGGUUUUCGGAUCGUAAAGCUCUGUUGUAAGAGAAGAACGAGUGUGAGAGUGGAAAGUCACAC